rnacentral:misc_RNA from 1 species
GAUGAAGAACGUAGCAAAAUGCGAUAAGUAAUGUGAAUUGCAGAAUUCAGUGAAUCAUCGAAUCUUUGAACGCACAUUGCGCCCGCUGGUAUUCCGGCGGGCAUGCCUGUUCGAGCGUCAUUUCAACCCUCAAACCCCCGGGUUUGGUGUUGGGGAUCGGCUCUGCCUCACGGCGGUGCCGCCCCCGAAAUACAUUGGCGGUCUCGCUGCAGCCUCCAUUGCGUAGUAGCUAACACCUCGCAACUGGAACGCGGCGCGGCCAUGCCGUAAAACCCCAACUUCUGAAUGUUGACCUCGGAUCAGGUAGGAAUACCCGCUGAACUUAAGCAUAUCAAUAAGCGGAGG